ensembl:lncRNA
CUUCUUUCUGCUUAAUGCGGUGUCAGCUGGGGACCAGAUCUAACUCAUUUCCUAGUAGCAUACUGAAAUAGUUUUCCAUGAGAAGUGCUGCAGUUUUUUAUUGCACACAUACAAUCCUUUGUUGAGAUUAUAAUUGUUUCCUACCAUCAGUGAUUCUUCUUUUUUUUCUUGCUGUACUUUCCAGCUCUCAGUAUUGUUCUGUGUCUCGGAACUGCAGGUUUUCCACAAAAGAAAAUUCGGUUGUGUCAAGGUGAUGGUGUGGUUAUUGUUUUUCUUUGGGCAUGGGCCAAACCACGCAGAUGGCAUACUAGGACGAGCCUGUGGAAGGAGACCAAUGGUUUUGUUGCCAACUCUUCGAGAAGAUCAGAGGAGCGACUGGGAAAUCUGUCUUCCAUGGAAAAGAGGAAAGAUGCUAAGGGACAGGAUGUACCCUCCUUGACAGUGUGGUCAAACAGCCAGCUUCCUCACUUGUCCCUAAAGAGCUCUCAGACAACUGUCUAGAAAAGUGCACAGUAUCCCCAGCUGUUAACAGCAGGAUAUACUGCAGCACUCCAGACUGCUGCUGCCAUGUCGUUUCAGUGCCUCCGGGGUCAGCUCAGUGUAUUAAAUUAACAGUUUUCCCAGGCAAUGCAAAAUGUCUGUGAACAGAAUGGUGCAGCAUAAUAAUGGGAUACAAGGGGAAGAUACCUGCUUAAAUAUGAAAUGUUUUGUGUGGCACGAUUUGAGUUCCAAAUCCCCCAAGAGUUCUGUGACCAACCUCCUGUGAGUUUCUGGGAUGUAAAGGUCAGAGCUGAAGACGGCAUGGACAGAGUGUACAGAAGAAAAGUCUCAGAACCUCUUGCUUCAAAUCCAUCACUUUCAGAGAGAAAAAACAGACAGCAAAGCACUCCUCUUUUGGAGGCAAAUCAGCCAUGGUGGGAACCUCUCAAACAACUGAGAACAACUGAAAACGGGCACUCCUGAAAUCAAGGAGAGAGGAUGGCUUUCCCAGAGAACUUCUGCACGGAGAUCUGGCUUCUGAAUUUCUUGGAUUCCUUAAAUGAAAAUCUUACACUGGGAAUUCCAAACAAUACAGCCUGUAACGUUUGGCUAGCAUACAGCACUCAGUGCAACCCCCCGGGCCGUGUUCCUGGACUCAUCCCAUCCCCACACUACAAAGAUGUCUUUCCUCAGCCAGCUCUGCUGCCAGCCAAGUUCCUGACAAGGUGUUGGUGCUUGGUCUGAACAUUGGUUAAUCUUCCCCAUGCUGGCUGGCUCCGUUGGUCUUAAAGAAGCACCAUCCAAUCUCAAUCCCAGUGUUCCUUAACUGCUUCAUUCCCUUUCACAUUUUCUAUUUUUUAUAAUCACUUCUUAGGAACAACUGUAAUACUACUAGCUAGUGGAACAGGUGUCGUUACUAAUAAAGCCUGUAAGAAGGAAAACCAGUGUCCC